AGGCGCAAUAGGAAUUGAAUUACACUUUGAUUAGUGGCAUUUGAAGGACAUCGUAAUAUUUCCAAAGGGCUGCCCAUCAACUAAGAAAGCAUACCCAUCUCUUUCUAAGUUUUCUACGUCCAAUCUCUGCUAAUAUAUGACGCGAAACUUGGAAAACUCACGCCGAUAAAAGGGCAUCACGACCCUUGAAACAAACACGGCAAGGCAACACAGAGAGAAUACUUCAACUUCUCUUAGAAGUGAGCCUACCGAGCAAAUUGGAGAAGGCAACAUCUAUCCAACUAUGCCACCAAAACCCACAAACAACCCUCGCCGCCCCCCCGCCAUCUCCACAGCCUCGCGCCGCACCGCCAUUCCCAUCGACAGCGCUUCACAAACGCCCACGCCCGCAAUUGCAAGUGCAGACCCAACCAACCCCCCCAUAGACCCAAGCCUCACGGCGCUUCGUUCCCGAAAUGUCCCCUCUCCCUCUACCAUAACUGCCAGCGGCUCACCACCCCGCGCCGGGGUCCAACGUCUCCAAUCGCUAAAAAAGCGCACCCCGGCCGGCUCCCUGAUCCCGCUAAACCCAGAUGGCACAGCGCCUAAACCAACCUUACGCUACCAGCCUCGCGCGGUAGUGCGGAAGAGUAAAGAGGAACGCGAAGCGUUGGAGAGACUUGAGGUGGAGAGGCAGCAGGAGAGGCUUAAAGAGGCAGCAGCACUGAG
rnacentral:sRNA from 1 species